rnacentral:rRNA from 1 species
CCUACGGGAGGCAGCAGUGAGGAAUAUUGGUCAAUGGACGAGAGUCUGAACCAGCCAAGUAGCGUGAAGGAUGACUGCCCUAUGGGUUGUAAACUUCUUUUAUAUGGGAAUAAAACGUUCCACGUGUGGGAUUUUGUAUGUACCAUAUGCAUAAGGAUCGGCUAACUCCGUGCCAGCAGCCGCGGUAAUACGGAGGAUCCGAGCGUUAUCCGGAUUUAUUGGGUUUAAAGGGAGCGUAGGGGGAUUGUUAAGUCAGUUGUGAAAGUUUGCGGCUCAACCGUAAAAUUGCAGUUGAAACUGGCAGUCUUGAGUACAGUAGAGGUGGGCGGAAUUCGUGGUGUAGCGGUGAAAUGCUUAGAUAUCACGAAGAACUCCGAUGGCGAAGGCAGUUCACUGGACUGCAACUGACACUGAGGCUCGAAAGUGUGGGUAUCAAACAGGAUUAGAUACCCUAGUAGUC